GUCGUCGUGAGGCGGGGUCUGAAGGAAGUGUAUUGCAAAGCCACGACCUGACGAACAGAAAUCAGAUACGAGGCCUGUCCCGAACGGACGAGCGGGCAAAUGAUCGCGAAGUCCAUAACUAUCAAGGACCGGGCUGGUAAAUCUGGCAGGUGUGUAGCGAAGGCGCUUGAG
rfam:Candidatus Burkholderia brachyanthoides strain TZHbot7 BRCHctg622, whole genome shotgun sequence.